rnacentral:lncRNA from 1 species
AUGAACUUGAGGUCAGUGGCAGAGAGGUUAAGUCAGGCCAGUGCAGGGAUCCCUGACAGAGAGUGAAGAAAGGAAAAGGGUGGAUGUGAGAGUUGGGGUAUAGCUGGAGGACUUCUGCCAUGUUAAGAUGUUGCUGUUGGAAUAGAAGAGGAAAAAGUGGACAUUCCUUUCCCUUCUAAACCCUCAGCAAACUCCGAAGAGUCAGAUUGCAAUGUUCUGCCACAGGUGGGGCUGAAGGUCUGCUCUAAGGGCAGGUGUCAUGGGUGGUUUUAGUAGGGAUGCAAUCUGCGGAGGGUUCGAGUUGGUAAGGAAAGUGUGUGGUAGCUGGAGAGCUGGGGCCACAAACAGUAUUGCUGGGGAUCACUGAACACUUAGACCCAAGGUUGGAUGGAAUGAUGGUCAAGCAGGGUGUCUUAGUCCACUUUCUGUUGUUACAAUGGACUUUAUUUGGCUCUGAAAGGUGGGAAGUUCAAGGCCAGGUGGCUGUAUCUGAUGAGGUCCUUCUUACUGGUGAGGACUCUGCAGAGUCCUGAGGCAAUAUUGGGCAUCAAGUGGCAGUACAGAGCUUCCUUGCUCAGGUUUCUCCUCCUCCUCCUCCUCCUCCUCCUCCUCCUCCAACAAAGCACUAAUACGGUCCUGGGGCCCUCGUGAUGGCAUCUAAUCCUGUUACCUCCCACGGGUCCCACAUUCAAAUUCCAUUAACACAUGACUUUGGGGAUUGUUUGCAAACCUGAAAUUUGGGAGAUACUGUAGCACAGGGACAAGGAUGGGUGGUCCACGGGCUGGAUACCCAAGGAGAGCUGGAUGAUGGAGACAAAUUAGUGGAUGUGGCAAUUCCUAGUCACUGGACAGCACUUGCCACUAGAGUCAACCACAACCUGAAGUAGUCUGCCACUUUCCUCAUUCAGAACAUUAU